rnacentral:tRNA from 1 species
GCCGGGAUGGCGGAACUGGUAGACGCGCACGUUUCAGGGGCGUGUGGGAGUAAUCCCAUGAGGGUUCGAAACCCUCUCCCGGCA